rnacentral:rRNA from 1 species
GACGAACGCUGGCGGCGUGCUUAACACAUGCAAGUCGAACGGAAAGGCCCUGCUUUUGUGGGGUGCUCGAGUGGCGAACGGGUGAGUAACACGUGAGUAACCUGCCCUUGACUUUGGGAUAACUUCAGGAAACUGGGGCUCAUACCGGAUAGGAGCUCUUGCUGCAUGGUGGGGGUUGGAAAGUUUCGGCGGUUGGGGAUGGACUCGCGGCUUAUCAGCUUGUUGGUGGGGUAGUGGCUUACCAAGGCUUUGACGGGUAGCCGGCCUGAGAGGGUGACCGGCGACAUUGCGACUGAGGUACGGCCCAGACGCCUACGGGAGGCAGCAGUGGGGAAUCUUGCGGAGUGGGCGGAAGCCUGAUGCAGCGACGCCGGGUGCGGGAUGACGGCCUUCGAGUUGUAAACCGCUUUCGCCUGUGACGAAGCGUGAGUGACGGUAAUGGGUAAAGAAGCACCGGCUAACUACGUG